rnacentral:tRNA from 1 species
GCGAGCGUAGUUCAACGGUAGAACAAUGUUCCGAUCUCAUACUAAUGCCUAUAGAUGCAGGUUCGACCCCUGCCGCUCGCG